rnacentral:lncRNA from 1 species
GAGGUGUCUAAGUAUCAGAACAUGCGACCUGGUCAUGCGAGUUGGGCACGAAGAAUCCCAGGCUGACGACAACACGCAUAAAACACCGGCUUGGACGUGCGGGACAGCUGAAGGUUGGGCCAGGCCGCAGCAUGAGAGGAAGGACAAGACCGUGCAGAAGAGACUUGUGUGUGACAUGGGCCUGCGGGUCAAACAAAGAAGAUCCCAAGUCGCACACAUAAGCGCACUUAACACCGAAAUGGGCGUGCGGCUCG